CACGUAGGGGGCAAGCGUUUGUCCGGAUUUAUUGGGCGUAAAGAGCUCGUAGGCGGUUCGGUAAGUCGGGUGUGAAACCUCCAGGCUCAACCUGGAGACGCCAUCCGAUACUGCUGUGACUAGAGUCCGGUAGGGGAGCGUGGAAUUCCUGGUGUAGCGGUGAAAUGCGCAGAUAUCAGGAGGAACACCAGCGGCGAAGGCAGAUCUCUGGGCCGUAACUGACGCUGAGGAGCGAAAGCAUGGGGAGCGAACAGG
rnacentral:rRNA from 1 species